rnacentral:tRNA from 1 species
GCUCGGUCGGCGAGUUUGGGAUGUCGCUUCCCCUCCUGGCGCGGUGGGCCGGCGAGGCGAUCGACGUCCGGAUCCAACACGGAGCCGAUCGC